rnacentral:rRNA from 1 species
GGCGUAGGCGGGGAGGUAAGUCGGGUGUGAAAUCCCUCGGCCCAACCGAGGAACUGCGCCCGAGACUGCUUCUCUUGAGUCCCGGAGAGGAAGGUGGAAUUCCCGGUGUAGCGGUGAAAUGUGUAGAGAUCGGGAGGAACACCGGUGGCGAAGGCGGCCUUCUGGACGGUGACUGACGCUGAGGCGCGAAAGCGUGGGGAGCAAACG